UUAACUCAAAUUUGUAUGGAUUUGGAAAAACUCUACUACGUUUGCCGCUAGGAGCGCUGUUUUAACUCCAUACAAAUUUGAGUUA
rnacentral:pre_miRNA from 1 species